UUCAGUGUUCACGUGGACAGAGCGAUUUCGUUCAGCUUCAAGGUGAGAGGUCUGCUGUAGGGCAGCAGAACUUGUGCCAAAGAGCUCUUCCUGGACAGGAUCAAGAAGGUACUGUGCACUUCAGGCCACCCUUGCUCUCUGUGACUUUUUGCUCUCAAGCUAUGCUGUGGUUGAGCUUUGUCACUGUCCCCAGACCUUCUGGACAAGACCUGAGUGAGAACAGAGCAAAGAUGAACUUAAUGAAAUCAAUCCAUCUGAAACCAUGGAAAAUUUCUUCACUGAAGAGAGUAUGCAUGGUUCACAUUGCCAUUGCCAAUUCCCAUUAUUGAUAGGAGUCUGGGUCUGGUGUUCCUGAUAUGAUUUGGAAUGUCCACAUAUGUCCAGGAUGGAGCAUUUGUGACAAUUCAAGAGAUGCAGAUAUCCCAGUGCA